UUGCUGCAGGCAGCACGCACACACAGGCACACUCACACUCACACACACACACACACACACACACACACACAUAUACACACAAAGGAAGACCCAAGAUUUACCACACUAUGGCGGCGGCUGUAACACCCCUCCCCUUAAAGGGGACCUGCCACCAAAAUUUCAUACCCAUUUUUAUCAUUUUUUCAUAAUCCUUGAUGUCCUCUGAUCAUGUUUGCAACAUAAUUUUAGCUGAAAAGUUAUUUGAUGGUUUGUUUUAGUAUGCCUAAAAAACGUGAAGCCUGCUGUGCUCUGAUUGGCUCAGCAGUGGAGGUUCGGAUUUCGGUUUAUCCAUUGUUAUUAUGCUAAUGCUAAUAGCAUAUGCUAAUGUGUGCUAAAGUAAGGUGCCCAGAUGUCUGUAAUGAUAUUCGAUGCGGCGGUGCAGGGGCUGCGUGAUCACAGACAAAGUCUCGGUACUAUUUAGUAGCAGCACAUGCCCCUUGUAAUAACCCCCGUAAGAACUGUUGUUCAGGACUGCUAACUUGUGCUUCCUACCUAUUUGGCUACUGUAAUAACCGUUGUUCGAGCCCACAUGCAACAUUUUUGCUCUCAUUCAUGAAACGCUUAAAUCUGAGACAUUUUCGGGGACAGCUUUUCCCAGGGAUAGGUCAUCCAAUACGGAGACUGUAACCACAAAAAAGACUUUUCAGAAAAUGGCAAUGCACUAGCCAGUCUAACAGAUUGAGAGCCACCGGUGUCCCUCAAAAUGCGUACUGGGCACUGAUCAGCAGUCUUACCUGUCAGAGAUACAUACCCGUCGAAAAUGAAUGGCUCAAAACAUGGAUAUGGGCAAACAGAAGAAACAGCAUUAGAUUCUACACGUCUCAGAUUUAAUGAACCCAACGCCUUUAGGGGGCAAUCCGUUACCAUUCUGUUUUUUCCUGUUUAAGGAGGGGCAGUUUUCAAUGAGGUGUCCAGUUUUAUGACAAUAGUUACAACUUUUUUCAUCUCUUCUUUGGAACACUCUGGCUUGUCCACUCUGUGGUGCCGGAGCACGAGGCUUUUCAUAAGCAGACAGGAACACAGGUUUGUGGGUUAGCACAAAUUCGUCAGCCAGUACAUAAGCUGCAGAGAGAGAUGAAACUUUGUGUUCAUUUAGAUACACAACAAUGCGCUCUGGCAGACAUUUCUUAAAUUCUUCCAGAAGUACUAGUUCAUGGAGUGAACUGAAAUCAGCAGCUUUACUAGCAUUGCACCAUUUAUCGAAGAGGGUUCCUUUUUCCCUUGCGAACUCAACAUACGUCUGUUCAGGGCCCCUUGUGUGGUUCCGAAAUCUUUGCUUGUAAGCUUCAGGGACUAAUUCAUAGGCACGUAAAAUAGACAUCUUCACAUUUUCAUAGUUUCAGCUCUCCGCUAAAGGUAGAGCAGCUACAGCUUCUUGUGCUUUACCGUGGAUCUUACAUCGAAGAAGUAGUGGCCACACAUCAUAAGGCCACUGAAGUGCAGUCGCAAUGUGUUCAAAUGCCAGGAAAUAGCUGUCAACUUCAGAGUCUCUGAAUGGUGGAACAAGAGAAAUAUGCUUACCAAUGUCAAAGGACUCUAAGGUAGAGCUGGUGGAAGGAGGUGAAAUUCUUGCAUCUGCAGAUGCAUCCAGUGCCGGAGUUGCUUUCAGCUGAGCUUCUAGCUUCAGCUGACGUAGUCGGACUGCUUUAUCGGCCUCGAUCUCCAUUUCCCGGAUCUCGAGCCUCAGCUUUGCUUGCCGGCUCUCGGCUUUCUCCUGGGCCUCCAUCUGGAGUCGUGCCAGCCUGACUUUCAGUCUGGCCUCACCCAGAGAAUCAGUGCUGAAUGAGGAGGGAGGAUCGUAGCGAGGCAAGAUAAAGGGAGUUUUGGGCUGAGCACACACUUCACUGAACUAACCUUUGUGCAGGGUAAUCAGCCGCAGCCUCAGACCCAGGUGCGCACACAGGUGACUCAGGGAGCACCGGCAAAACAAUUAAACCUAAUUCCACCAACUUACCUAUGACUAGAGAUUUUAAUUCUUUUUUCAGGAUUGAUUUGGCAAACAGGACAUUGAAGUGCACAGCUAUCUUGACCAAAUUAUCCUUUCUGCACUUAUUAAUCUGAUCAAGCGACGGAUUUACCAAGAAGCUGUCAAGAUCAAAAGAUGCCAUUUUACCUACCUAAGCACACACACAAUAAUCUUACCUUUAUUAACAAUAACUUUUCGAAAUUCCGGGUCUCCUUUAACAGAUUAAGAUCCCGGACGAGCCCCCAUUUAUGUUACUACCAGCUCGUUAGAGGAGAAGGGAAGCAACAUAAAAACAACCAGAUGUUAAGUGAUCAAUUCAAGUUAUUUAUUAACAAAAGCUAAAAUUGGCAAUAACAAAAAAAGAGAGGCAGCAAAGGCCUUAAAGGAGAUUUAACAGGUUGCCAAAAACACAAGAAGACUCUAACCUAGAGUUAAUUUCACAGCAAAGUAAAAGAUCUGCUCACAUAGGGCAAGAAAAGAAAUAAAAUACGACAACUCAGCUCUAGUGCUGAGUACAAAAGGAAAGAAGCUAGGCAUGUGCAAAAAUAAUAUGCCUCACAAAGCUACGAAAGUCCCAAAUCACAAAGACGCUAAGUCUGAGAAACAGGCAUGGGAGCUCCACUGGUUACAGCGUGCUCCCUGAUCUGCAGGUCUGCUGGCGUUUUAUCCACUCCUCUAAGUGGCUCCAGGGAAGACCCAAGAUUUGCCACACUAAGGCGGCGGCCGUAAUAGUAAGGUCUAAGGUUUUUGGCAAAAUCACUGUCCAAGACCUUUCUAGGACCAUGUUUCAGACCUUUUGGAGUUAGUUAGUCCAGAAAAAAAACGAAAAAUGAAAAAAAAAAGGUUUGGGGUGUUAGGGCUUCCUUAAGAUAAUAACCGGGUAUUGUGUUACGGGGCUAGGGUAAGGUUUAAGGUUUUUGGGGAUAGGGUUAAAAUCACUGUCCAAGACCUUUUUAGGAACAUGUUUCAGACUUUUUGGAGUUAGUUAGUCCAAAUAAAAAAAAUGAAAAAUGAAAAAAAUAAUAAUUGGGGUGUUAGGGCUUCCUUUAGAUAAUACCUGUGUAUUGGAUUACGGGGCUAGGGUAAGGUUUAAGAUUUUGGGCGUUAGGGUUAAAAUCACUGUCCAACACCUUUUUAGGAACAUGUUUUAGACCUUUUAGAUUAAGUUAGACCAAAAAAAAGAGAAAUAGAAAAAAAAAAUUUUGUGGUGUAAGGGCUUCCUGUAGGUAAUACCCAGGUAUUGGGUUACAGGGCUAGGGAAAGGUUGAAGGUUUUUGGUAUUAGGGUCAGUACCACUGUCCAAAACCUUAUUGGGAACUUUUUUCCAAACCUUUUGAGUUACUUAGAACAAAAAAAACGAAAAAAAAGAAAAAUGAAAAAAAAUAAUAAUUUGGGGUGUUAGGGCUUCCUUUAGGUAGUACCCGGGUAUUGGGUUAAGGGGUUAGGGUAAGGUUUAAGGUUUUUUGGGUUAGGGUUAAAAUCACUGUCCAAGACCUUUUUAGGAACAUUUUUCAAAACUUUGAAGUUAGUUAGACCAAAAAAAAAAAAUGAAAAGAAAAAAAUGUCUUUGGGUGUUAGGGCUUCCUUUAGGUACUACCGGGGUAUUGGGUUACGGGGCUAGAGUAAGGUUAAAGGUUUUUGGGGUUAGGGUUAAAGUCAUUGUCCAAGACCUUUUUAGGAACAUGUUUCAAACCUUUUGGAGUAAAUUAGACCAAAAAACCCGAAAAAUCAAAAAAAAAAAAAAUGUUUGGGGUGUUAGGGCUUUCUUUAGGCACUACCCGGGUAUUAGGUUACACGGCUAGGGUAAGGUGUAAGGUUUUUGGGGUUAGGGUUAAAAUCACUGUCCAAAACCUUUUUAGGAACAUGUUUCAGACCUUUUGGAGUUAAUGUAGUGAUUUGAAUUUAUAAUAAAUGUCUGGAGAUUAAUAAUCUCAAGUUAUGACAUUUAUGCACUCGUUGAAAGGGGCACCACCCACCCGUAAUGGUGGGAAAAUAAAGAAAACUAAAGUUUAAUUCAGAAAUCAAACAUCAAGUCAAUCAUUAAUUAAUCAAUCUCAUAUCUUAAGCCGAAAUUCUCAUUUCAGGGACUCCACUUCUAGAAAAACACUAACAGACAAGAACUUUGAAAAAUAAUGAUCUGUUUAUUACAGGAUAAAUGAUGGUACAACAUACAUGCAAUAAAUGAUGAUAAGAUAAUGAGGAUAAAUAAAAAUAGGUGAAUAAAUAAAGAUUCUGAGUCAGGCUAGGAGCACUAAAAUUAAUGAUAGUGAGUGAAUAUGCUCUAACAUAUUAACCUACACUAACUUUGGUGUCGAGAUAAACUCUGAUGUGGAUUUGGAGGAAUCUAAGAUUACCAGAAUAAGUGGAUAUCUGAGUUAUGAAUGCAUGAGACAGCAUCAGCCCUGUUUGGAGCUCUGGAGGUUUGCAUACUUAAGUGAGACUGGUCCUUGGAGAAGAUGGAACAGGUUCCGAAGGUCCGGGGCUACCGGCGGUUCGAGCGUUUCAGCUCAGAAGACGACUGAAGUCAGCCGAAGAAUGGGCCAGGAGUUGUAGCACUCGGGCCUGAAGUAAAGCCGGCGCCUGUGGAUGCUCGUUUGGAUGCUUCUUUGGUCUCACUCAAAAACUCUGGCACAGAGGAUGACCUGGGCUUGCUGGGUUGCGUUCAGAGGUGACUUAGAAAUCACGCAGAUAACUCAGAAAAAUGAGGUUUGAUGAGCAGAGAUAAUUUUCAAAAAUGGCUUCGCGAAAUUAAAGAAAAUUCAAUCAAAGGCUUAAUCUUGAAUUGCUAUGCGCACAAAAAGUUGAAGUUUCAAAACUUGAACUAAGACGAUGUUAAAGAAAAAUCAAUGUGAAUCAACACAUGGUGUAAAACUUAGAAGACUAAGGAAAAGUUCUAAGAGAAAACAAAGAAGAGGACCACAGAAGGGUGUGGACAGAAGAGCGAAAAGGGGAGAAGAGGGAGAAGAGCGCGGCACAAGAGAGUGAGCAACCCCACUCCACUGGUUUUAUCUUCUCACACUGGGAGUGUCUCUGGCGUGUGUGUGAGGAGAAAGAGGAGGGGGUCAUGUGGUCUCCAAGCAAAGGAGACCUCGGAUCUCUGAUUAUUUGAUCUCACUUAUACUUUUGGCUGGUAAAAGAGUCAGAUCUGAUACUCACUCACUAUGAUUAAUAUCAUUGAAUGCUUGGUUUCAUGAUAAAUAAUUUGAUACUAAACACAUAUGAAUGAAAUGUAGGAUCACAUCAAACAUUCUCAUUAUGUUUUAAGUAUCACAUUGAACAUGCCAAAUUAUUCUGAAAUGAAACAGAUAGUACACACAGAAACUGUGAACAACAAAAGAGUAAACACAAGUGAAUGAACUUCACCAUGAUUAGUAAUGGAUUCUAAAUACUCACAUUCAGAUUAUUCAAUGACAUUAUAACCACCUAAUGGUUAAAAUACGAAAUAAACAACUAAAAUAUGAACCAAACAUUUCUAAACAAUUUCUGUUACUUAGAGUAAGGUUAUGAUUCAUAGUCAAUAAAUUUAACUCUUAAAAGUUCAUGAAACAGUCUGAAAAGCUGUUGGUCUAAAGAAACUAAAGAAUAAAGGAUUUAUUCUGUCGGAGUGAUAACUUGGCUUCUGGAGCACAUAGAAAAACGGGAAACCGCAUUUUAACACAAAUUUCAUUAUUAGACGGAUUAGUACAUUGCUGAAUGCAUAAGAUGUCAUGAUCAGUCAUUUGUAUUCUUUCACCAAAGGAAUGCAGUUUUUAUCAGUACAUGGUUGAGCAGGGUUUUACGACCGAGGUCUGGAGGUCAGUGUCCCCCCUUAUCUUGGGGUCCGUAUGUUCACACACUUUAAGACGGUAAAUCUCAAAUGGGAGAUCUGGGUUGAGGUGUUAUUAUUCAUUUAGAUGGUCAGCAAUGGAGUCAGUUUGAAAGGUAAUAAAACUCUGUCUCUGUUCUCCGAAUUGACCAAUCGUGAAGAGUCAGAGGUUUGGUCAAACUCCGGUCGGGUCAGUUAGGUAACCUGAAAGUGCAAACAAGUCUGGAAAGAUUUAUAUCCUGUGUCCUGGGACCAGAUAGGAAAACUUUCCUGCGAGGAAUGUGUGAAUUUCACAUACAGGGUUGUUUUGAUUGCUACAUUAAUAAGACCAAAAAAAAAUUGUCAAAAAACUUUUUUGGGGUGUUAGGUCUUCCUUUCGUUAAUACCCAGGGUAUUGGGUUUCGGGGGUAGGGUAAGGUUUAAGGUUUUCAGUGUUAGGGUUAAAAUCACUGUCCAAGACUCUUUUAGGAACAUGUUUCAUACCUUUUGGAGUUAGUUAGACCAAAAAAACCUGAAAAAUGUCAAUAAUUUUUUUUUUCUGUGAUAGGGCUUCCUUUAGGUUUCCUCAUAGGUUUAAGGUUUCUUGGGUUUAGGGUCAGAAUCACUGUCCAAAACCUUUUUAGGAAAUUUUUUCCAACCUUUUGGAGUUAGAUAGACUAGAAAAAAAGACGUAAAAUGAAAAAAAAUGUUUGGGGUGUUAGGGCUUCCUUUAGGUAAUACCCGGGUAUUGGGCUAGGGUAAGGUUUAAGGUUUUUGGGGUUAGGGUUAAGAUCACUAUCCAAAACCUUUAUAGGAACAUGUUUCCAACCUUUUGGAGAUAGUUAGACAGAAAAAAAGGAAAAAUGAAAAAAAUAAUUUUGGGUUGUUAGGUCUUCCUUUAGGUAACGCCCUAGUACUGGGUUACGGGGCUAGGGUCAGGUUUAAGGUUUUUGGGGUUAGGGUUAAAAUCACUGUCCAAGACUUUUUUAGGAACAUGUUUCAAACCUUUUUGAGUUAGUUAGACCAAAAAAAAUGAAAAAUAGAAAAAAGUUUGGGGUGUAAGGGCUUCAUUUAGAUAAUAUCCGGGUAUUGGGAUACGGGGCUAGGGUAAGGUUUAAGGUUUUUGGUGUUAGGGUUAAAAUCACUGUCCAAGACUCUUUUAGGAACAUGUUUCAUACCUCUUGGAGUUAGUAAGACCAAAAAAAAAACGGAAAAAAAAAUGUUUCGGGUGUUAGGGCUUCCUUUAGAUAAUACCCGGGUAUUGUACUAUGGGGCCAGGGUAAGAUUUAAGGUUUUUGGCGUUAGGGUUAAUAUCACUGUCAAAAAACCUUUGAGGAACAUGUUUCAAACCUUUUGUACUUCAUUAGAACAAAAAAAAAAAAAAAAAUGUUUAAAAGUAUUUGGGGGUGUAAGGGCUUCCUCCAGGUAAUUCCAGGGUAUUGGGUUACGGGGUGUUGUGGAAAAUCCAGCAUAAAUAAUGCACAGGAGACAGGAUGAUAUCUGAAGAACAGCCUGGGCCUCUUUUAUUGUACAGAUGUAGAAAUCAGUACAGAUGACAAACAGUCUUGAACAAGACUGAAGGAAACCUCCUUAGCUUUUCUUCUACUCCCGUUUAUGCUGUUAGGUGUGUGUGUGUGUGUGUGUUUAUUCUGUCAUCAUGGGUAUGUCAUACUGUUCUGACCCUCAACUCUUUGUUUAGACUAGUCUUAACUCUCACAGAGAUUAAAUGUUCCAACAGACAGAUAGUUCGGGCUCCUGCAAGACAGCCUUGCUUGCAACCUCACGGUCAUUAUUUGUAGCUCCUUACUAAAAGACAAUUACUCUAUAUUUCUUAACCUAAAUGUAUGAAGAGAUUCUCUUACACAGUCCCCCCUUUGAAAGUUCUUCCUUUCAUAAAACCCUGAUCAUCAUAUCAAACACUUAACAUCCUUAAGUGAUUAAAAUAAAACAUGUUCAAUAAAUUCUAAAUGCUAUGUGUGUGAUUUGCUGCAUCUAAGACUUAAUAAUAUAUGGCAUGAAACAAAAAUCAAAAUGCAUUAACCAGUUAAAUGAAUUAUGCAACCUUAUAGAAUCGUGACAUAAUUCCUCCAAUUAUGCAAAAGUUAUAAAAUUGUGAUAUCAAUUCUCAAGAAUUGUAAGAAUCAAUGUUCAUUGGGUUGAAUAAUGUCUUACUUCGAUGUUCAAUUUCUCCACCAUCAUACCAUAACUAGGAUCAUUUCAAAUUAUAUCCGCGCAUAAGACUGAAAACCCUGCCAGGCUGUUUCAGCAGGGAAAGAAUCUUACGGCCCCGCGCCCUGGCGACCAUCCAUUUCCUGGAUGCGCUGACAUAAUUUCAUUUGCAUAGAAAAAGUGUCAACUUCUGAUAAUACCAUUACAUUACAUUGUAGCAACCUGCGACAAACCCCUUGAUUAGUAUGUGAUUAACUCCAGGAUCAAUGUGUGAUUAGUGUAGUCCUUUAACUCUGCGAAUGAAACAUGUUCAGUUCAUUAUCCUAGCUCACUGGAUAUGUUGUUUGUGUUGCUUAAAGUCCAUUGCUCAUCAUCGUCUCCUUCAAAGUCCAGGAACCGUUCAGGUCCCUCAGUCCCUCCUUGAUUAAUCACACACUGUGCCAGCUGUUUUGGUGGCAUCCCCUGUAGUUCA